GUCACAGGGAAUGUGAUAAUGAAAAAAGGUAAAUGAUAAUGAUGUGGCUCACCCUACCAUUUCUGGUUGGCUUUGAAGGUGGAAUUAGAGGUCACGACCCAGGGUAUGUAGCAGCUUCUAGAAACAGGAAAAGCCAGAGAAACAGAUUCUCCCCUGGGGCUUCUAGAAAUGAAGGCAUCCUUGACAACACCAUGAUUCUAGCCCAGUGAGACCAUGUUGGAUUUAUAACCUGCAAAAUUGAAAGAAAUAAAAGGAAAUUCUGAAGAUAGAGACAAUGGAACUUGUUGACAGACAUAAGUGUGAAAAACAGGAAUUACAAUCUCUUCCAGAAAUUUUGGUCUAAACAGCUGGAUGGAUAAAUUGGCAUCAGCUCAUAUGGAGAAGCUGUGGAAAGAGCAGGCUUGGGUAGGAAGAUCCGAAUUAAGUUUUGGAUUUAAGGUGGAGAUACCUAUUACAUAUCUAAAUGGAGUGUCAAGGAGGAGCUGAAGAUAGGAGUCCUAAGUUCAAAGAAGAGAUCUGGACCAGGGAUAAAAUGUUAGAAUCACUGGCCUAUCAGGCAAGGGUGCAGGGCAGCACAGAGAAGAUAUUCAAACUAUUUGGAUGUAGACGCUUCUAAAAUUGUUGGAAGGGAUGAAAGAAUAUAAUUCAGGGAACACCACUGGACGCUCUAUUCUGAAGUCCCUUCAUCAGAGUUGUAAUCCAGAAGACUACUACCACAACUCCAUAUCUCACACCCAUGAAAUUGGCAAAAACAUGUGAAAUGUGGAACCCAGGUGCUGAAAACACUCGUGCAUGUCAGACAGAGCUGCCACAGACAAAUGGCUUCAGCAUCCUUUCUGUCUCUUACUUUUUGUAUGAGUGCUUAUUGUUGACAGAGCCUGAGUCACGUUCAUAAGCUUAACUGCACAAGAGUCUAGGAAGUAUAGCUGCUAGCCUUCAAGUACCUGAAAUACAGGAGGGAACUUAAUGGAAUCAUAUGGAUGCCAAAGGACAAUAAAUAACAUCUGGCAUAAAUGGCAUUGAAAACUAUAAACCUAGGUGAAAUCACCAAGGAAAUAAAUAAAUAGAGAAGAGAGAACCAAAGACUGAGCUGUGGGUUUCUUCAGCAAAGGGGAGGUGAAAGGACACAGAAAUGGCCUUUAAGGCUAUCCUUCCCUGUCUACAUUUUGUGAUAUAUGUUGAUCUCUUCAAACAUUCUACAGUCAUAAAAAUCUCAGGCAAACAUUUCAUCACUUGACAGACAUUCUGCACUUGGCUGGCUCCAGGAGCAAUGGGCACCAUCUGUUUACAAUGACUCCUUGGGCAUCCAGAGGGUUCUUUUCCAUACAGGAAUGCUAUCAAAGACUUUGCAAGCAAAGAGGUCACUUUCGGACCUCUCCAACCAGCCUAUAUUCACAGAGACCUUCAAAUUUCCAGGGAUAUCAAUGGGGUCUUUUUAGACUCUGUCAGCUGUUACUGGGGAAAAAGAUGAGGAUCAAGUAAGAAGGUACAUGCAGUUGCCUCCUUGUUAGACUUUUAAGUCAGACUCCUGAGGAAACAGAUUCUGUCCCAAAGAUUUGGGCACAGGAGGCUGAUUGGGGUGUGCUUUGGGGAUUGACAUGGGGGGGUGGUGUGAAGGAAGCAGACUUGGGAACAGAAAGAAUUG